rnacentral:rRNA from 1 species
UGGAGGGCAAGUCUGGUGCCAGCAGCCGCGGUAAUUCCAGCUCCAAUAGCGUAUAUUAAAGUUGUUGCAGUUAAAAAGCUCGUAGUUGAAUUUCGGGAUCAAUUUAUUGGUCGUGCCAACGGUACGCACUGGUACAAUUGGUUUCUCCCUUCUGACGAAGCAUGAUGUCAUUAAUUUGAUGUCGUGGGGAAUCAGGACUGUUACUUUGAAAAAAUUAGAGUGUUUAAAGCAGGCUUUGGCUUGAAUACAUUAGCAUGGAAUAAUGAAAUAGGACGUUUGAUCUUAUUUCGUUGGUUUCUAAGAUCGACGUAAUGAUUAAUAGGGAUAGUUGGGGGCAUUAGUAUUCAAUUGUCAGAGGUGAAAUUCUUGGAUUUAUUGAAGACUAACUACUGCGAAAGCAUUUGCCAAGGAUGUUUUCAUUAAUCAAGAACGAAAGUUAGGGGAUCGAAGACGAUCAGAUACCGUCGUAGUCUUAACCAUAAACUAUGCCGACUAGGGAUCGGAUGAUGUUAAUUUUUUAAUGACUCAUUCGGCGCCUUACGGGAAA